GAUGAACGCUGGCGGCGUGCUUAACACAUGCAAGUCGAACGAAGCAUUCGCGACAGAUUUUUUCGGAAUGAAGUUGCUUAUGACUGAGUGGCGGACGGGUGAGUAACGCGUGGGUAACCUGCCUUGUACUGGGGGAUAGCAGCUGGAAACGGCUGGUAAUGCCGCAUAAGCGCACAAUGUUGCAUUACGUGGUUGGAAAAAGUCCGGUGGUAUAAGAUGGACCCGGGUCUGUUUUGCUAGUUGGUGGUAUUACAGCCCACCCAGGCGACGAUGGGUAGCCGAGCGGAGAGGGUGACCGGCCAGAUUGGGAAUGAGACACGGCCCAGACUCCUACGGGAGGGAGCAGUGGGGAAUAUUGCACAAUGGAGGAAACUCUGAUGCCGCGACGCCGCGUGAGUGAGGAAGUGAUUCGUUAUGUAAAGCUCUAUCAGCAGGGAAGAUAGUGACGGUACCUGACUAAGAAGCACCGGCUAAAUACGUG
rnacentral:rRNA from 1 species